GUUAGGUUAGGUUAGGAUAGGUUAGGUUAGGUUAGGUUAGGUUAGGUUAGGAUAGGUUAGGUUAGGUUAGGUUAGGUUAGGUUAGGUUAGGAUAGGUUAGGUUAGGUUAGGUUAGGUUAGGAUAGGUUAGGUUAGGUUAGGUUAGGUUAGGUUAGGUUAGGAUAGGUUAGGUUAGGAUAGGUUAGGUUAGGUUAGGUUAGGAUAGGUUAGGUUAGGAUAGGUUAGGUUAGGUUAGGAUAGGUUAGGUUAGGUUAGGUUAGGUUAGGUUAGGAUAGGUUAGGUUAGGUUAGGUUAGGUUAGGUUAGGUUAGGUUAGGUUAGGUUAGGAUAGGUUAGGUUAGGUUAGGUUAGGAUAGGUUAGGUUAGGAUAGGUUAGGUUAGGUUAGGUUAGGCACAAACUAUUUUUUUCUGGGUAAUUUGUGGUGUUUUUUUCAUGUGGAGAUGGUUUUUUUCCGGAAAUAUUAGGAUUGUGACUUGAUGAAGAAAAUUGAAAUAGCCCCUUUCCUAAUAGUUUCCGGAAAAAAAGACUAUCUCCACUUGAAAAAGCACCACAUUUUACCUAGAAAAAAAUAGUUUGUGCCUGGAAAUUCGAGAGCCCACAUCUCCUGAAUUA